AUGGAGAGCACCCGGAGAGGAACAUUAUUUCAGCUGUUCUAUAACCCAGCACCAGUCUUUAUCUUUCCACGAGAAGUUAUGGAUACACGGCUGAGUAUUAAAUGGAGCGAUGACAACAUUGUCUGGAUAGGCAAUGAAAAAGCAGGAGGGAUUAUUUGGCUGCUGAGGGAGAAUGCAAACCGACAGAAUGAAGCCCCGCCCCCUUCCCAAGUCUUGGAGACAUCGGUCCCUGGAGGAAAAGGCCCUGUGCUGAUCACCUGAAGCAGAUCGUCUCCUCCAUUGUCCUGUGGGCGCUCCUGGGUGAUGAAGGUCAUCAGCUCUUGCACGGACUGUUGCCUGGCUGAGGAAGAGGAGCAGCCUGCGGUUGUGAGCCUUGCCUCUUCCUCCUCCUCCUCCAUCGGCUCCCUCAAGGACACCUCCAGGGUCGGGGUCAGGAUCAGAGAUGACGGGAGAGAACAGUCACAGCGUCGGCACAGCCAGGGCGGGACCAGCGAGUAAAAAGACACCUCCAGGGUCGGGGUCAAGAUCAGAGAAGACGGGAGAGGACAGUCACAGCGUCGGCACAGCCAGGGCGGGACUGUUGAUGCUAGGGUUUUGUUCACCAGAAGGGGCGGGGGGAGCUUGGG